ACAAAAGUUGUUGUUUCACAAAACGACAAUGCGGCCGAGAGUCUAUCCGAACUUCUGGACAGUGAAAUAGGUUAAAACAGGUUUAUUUCAGAGUGCUGCUCCUUCGUCAGAGACCUAGUCAUGACUGAUGUCAGAAGUCUGCCAUAAGUAACCUGCCUCCCUGUGGAAGGGGUGGACAUCUCCCCAAACCACCACACACCUCUCUGCGUCUCCCUGAAUGUUCAUCUUUUCUGCAUGGAGAGAAAUCAGAGAGAUAGUAAUGACCGCGCUGCAAAAAGUGAAGGGCCCCAUUUUGGGAAGAGAGAGACGACUACUGUGGUUUAACCCGAGUGUCACCAGGUCUCAGGCAAGAGGAGAGGUUGAGAAGGAGAAUCCUUCAUGUAAUCUCUGAGGAGCAGAUGUAGAAAUUGAACCCACAGUGUUGGUAUCACAAGCUGGCAACUGAGCUAACUGACCCUUGGCUGCUCAACAAGCAAAACAAACUGCAGCUUACUGCUUCUGGAGAAUGACAAACCAGCUAGUUCUACACACUGAGCCAGCUACUGCCUGGGGCCAGGGAUAUAAUUCCAGAAAUGAAGAUGUGCUCAGAGUGGCAGGUUGGAGGGAUUUACACUGGUUUUCAGGAGGUACAGGCAUUCUUUCUUCUCUUAACCCCCAAAAGUAAAAAUUCUGAAUUUGCUUUAUUUUUUUAGCAGCCUCCAACAAUUCUUUCAAGGACUAUUGAUCAGAUCACUUAUUGCCUGGGACAAAUGGGUUGAUUGAGAAUGGCUACAUUUCCCUCCUUUGUGUUUAGAUUACCAAAGCAAGUCAGACUUGCUGUUGUUAAGGUUCGAUGGCCUUGGCUGGAGAAAGAAAUUUGCUGAAGUUAGCAUCAGUAACCGAGGGUUAGGAUCAAACAAACAUGAAGGAAAA